UAUCAAUCAGUUCAGGGUGUCCAGGUGGUUGAUUAUCUAACUUUUCCACCUCAUUUCCCCCAGAAUUUCCUUUUUGUGACGUGGAAGCCUGCGUUUGUGCCUUGCUUAAACGUCUUCUCAUUUUUAUUUUUGGUACUGUCCUUGGUUUAAUUCCUGGGUUGAUAUUUCAGAAUUGCUUAAUGCAGGUAUCUUUGUUGCUUGUGUUUAAAACCCUUGUGGAUUGAUUGCUUUUCAGAGGUGUCUUCCAGAUAUGGCUUGUGUUUAGGUUUUGAGGCUCUAAUGACUCUGAGGCUAUUUUAUUUUCCUUAUACCAGGAAGGAAAACUGAUGAGAUCAAUCACAACGUGUUAGGCCAAAUGUUACAAUCAGCAAUACCAUAGCAUCAAGCGCAGCUUGGAAAAUGACAAUUUGUGGUAGUUAUUAAUCUAUCACAUUUAACUAUGUGAAGUAUAAUCCCCUGUGCCUCUGUAGCAUGGGACCAGGUAGCAGAAGAGCCGGAAAAUGGCGGGGAGGGAGGGAUGGAAUUGGCUUUGCAGGCGCCUGAGCGGCUAAGCGGAGCACCGGAUGAAGGUGGGACUUCAAGCCACUCCCAGGACCUCACCGUGCUGUAGGCAGGAACCGGAACACAGCCGAAGAGCCUCAGGCUGCUUGGCCGACCCUCGGAGAGAAGCACCAGAUGAAGGCGGGGUUCCAAGCCGCUCCCGGGUCCUCACCGUGCCAUGGGCAGGAACCGGAACACAACCGAGUAGCCUCCGAAAAUUUGAUUUUAGAAAGAAUGAUAAAGGGAAAUAAACAAAUUAUCUGGAUUCUCUAGAGUUUACAUACCUACAUUGCUAUCUUGUCAUGUAAUGUUUUGUUCUUCUUCAUUUCUCUGUAAUGAAUAGAGGACCAUCAAGGGUGAAUCAGUUUCCAACACUACCUGUGCUGACUGAUUAGACCUUGUAUAGCCACCUUGAAAUAUUCCACACAAAGUUUUGAUGAAUCUUGAAUUCUUAAUGUAAGGCACAAAAUUGUUCUUAUAACCUCAGAUAAACACACUAGAUACUGAGUGUCUUUAAGUCUGUAUAAAGGGAGGAGAAAACACCAAUCUUUUUAAAGUUAUUAAUUUUUUCCCUGGGCAAAUUUCCAUUUUUCAUGAUCGAGAGUGGUAUUACUGCCAACUCCCAAACUGGCCAAAUUUCCAGUCCCCAGAUGGGCAUAUUGUGACACUAUUUAAUAGUCACAUCACAAUGCUUCUCCUCAAAUCAGACUAGCAGCUCAGCUUCUCCAAACUCCUGAACAAAGGUGAGGCUGAAAGUAAAAAAUGAUGGGGAACUUCUGAGUGCUGUAAGGGGAAGGGAAUUUUAAAAUCUUGGAUGAUUGUUUCUUAGGAUAAUGAGAAAACUGAUAUAAAAUAACUAAUUUAUAUAAAAUUAAUAUACAGCAUAUAUGGAUUUCAGCCUGUGAAAGUCCAAAAUGAUCUCUGAAAACUAAUGAUAGGGGCCUGAGUGUGUAGUUCAGUGGUAGAGUCCUUACCUACUAUGCACAAGGCCUUGGGUUCAAUGCCCCUUGCUGCAAAUGAAAUAAAGUUGCUUACGAUUUAGAAACUAGUGAGAGAAAAGUUUUAUGCAGAACUCUGAAAUGUUAGAUUAGUACAGUGUGAUACAAAUAGCAUGAUGCAAAUUUCAGAUGCAAAAGCAAGGUGCUUUUCUAGCAAUCUCCUGUCAUUUUCACAAUAAAAUGUGGAAGUCAUCAUGAUCCUUGCCAUAAGUUUCAUGGAGAUUGGUGAUAUUUAUUUCUCUUCCAAAGACCUUGAAGAACAAAAUUGAGUAGAACUUUCUGCCUGUUACUUGUCUAAUCCAGAAUGAAUCUAGAAGCUUAAGGAGAGUAAUUAUGAAUGCAUCUCCUGAUCCUGUGAGACCUCAGGUAGUUGAAAGGAAGUAUUGAGAUUUCUUAAGUGAAAGCAUUUGGAUUUAUCUUGAUUUUAACCUGCAUUGGUAUGUUUUUAUAAUUUAUGUAUGAUAACUGAAUUCCUAUAGACCCAAUGCUUCCUGGUAGAAUUAUCCCCUAUACUUGACAAGUUGUUUACUUUGAGGGGAUGCUGUAAUUACAUGGCUUCAGUGGACUUAACAUUCUAUUCCACCUCCUUGACUUUUUACUUGUCUUUACACUACCUACUAUUUUCUCUUUCUUUUUGUCCUCAUCUCGCCUCUCUGUCUUCAAAUUCUGUCAGUCUGUAUAUGACCACUUCAAGUCCUAUGUGCAUAAAGCUUUUUUCUUAACGUUUCUUUUCUGUAAAUUCUUUCCUGUAGUUUGACUGUUUGUGUCCCCUCUUCUCAAAUGUGUAUGUUGAAACCUGACCCCCAAUGUGGUGAUAUUAAGAUGUGAGGCUUGGGCCGGGGAUUUAGCUCAGUGGUUUCAACGCCUGCUACGCAAGUGCAAGGACCCGAGUUUGAUCCCCGGUACCAAAAAAAAAAAAAAAAAAAAAAAUGUGAGGCUGUGGGGGUGAUUAGGUCAUGAGGGCUUCACUCAUGAAUUGGAUUAGCACCUUUAUAAAAGAAGCCUGAGAGAGUUUUUCUCUUCUUUUUACUUUUUGAGGACACAGUAAGAAGACACCAUCUAUGAAGCUUAGCAGAUCUUGGACUUUCUAGCUUCUAAAACCAUGAACAAUAAGUUCCUGUUGUUUAUAAAUUACCCAGUCUGAAGUAUUUUGUUGUAGCAGCCUGACACACACAGUUACUAAACAUCUCUCUUAUCUUCCACAGCUAUAAAAACCUGGACAGGUUGCUUAACCUCUCUGAACUUCAGUUUCCCCAUAGAUACAUAGGGAUAAUUAGAAUGCCUUUUAGUGUAGUUGUAAGGAUCAGAUGAUCUAAACAAAUAGUCUUAGAAUAAAGCCUAACACAUUGUAAGCAUACAAAUAUUUUUAUUAAAAUUCAAGAGCUAGUUGUGUUUUCUCUUCUUAAAUACUACAUUUUCCUCUAUUUCCUCCCCAUAUUUGUUAAUAUUUUAUUUAAUGAUUUUUAAUAUACCAUCAAAGGAGGCUUUCUUUCAAGUUUUUAAGUAUAUUGACUAACACAAAGAGUUACCAGUUACCAAUUUUCUUAAAAGCCAACAUCUUAUACUGCCUGCCUCACAAGUGCAAGAACCUGAGUUCAACCCCUGGUACCAAAAAAAAAAAAAUUAAAGUAAACACAAUGCAUAUUUAUUGUUUAACUACAUGUAAUUUUUAAUAUUUUGUUUCUAUUUCAACUUUACAUAUCAUCCAUGAUACAUUAAAAUAAUCAUUUCUACUUCAAUUUAAACCUUCAUUUAAAUCCAUGAAAAUUUGUUUUGUUUUAUUUUUGUGCUGGGCUCAAACCCAGGACCUUAUGCAUGUUAGGCAGGUGCUCUACCAUUUAGCUAUAUCCCCAACCUCAAGUAAUUCUUAUCUAAACUAUCUGUCAUAUUGCAGAACUUCUGUAAAUAUGAGUGAUUCAUUGUGUUAGUUACUACUGUGGAAAAUAAAACUACACAUUGAGAAUUUUGAAAUACAACUUACUAGCUACUGAAAUCUGCAUGCAGGAAGAAAUAGCAAAUUGUAACACAUCCACAUCACGAGUUCUCUUUUCACAUGAUUUAUACAGGAGCACAUCCAAGGUCCCCACCACUCCUUCAUAAAUCUGUGAUCUACAGGAGAGGAAGGGCCUUGUACUCCAAAAUGAACAAACAUGGAAAGACUGAAAGGAAGCCUGAGCCUGAGCCCUGACCUUACACGACAUGUCUAUUUGGCUUUUCUUGAAAUGUGUCCUCUCCUAAUAAAAAUGUGAAUGUAAGUAUAGUACUUUUAUGAAUUCUGUGACUCAUUUUAGUGAAUUGUUAAACCUGAGGGGGUCAUGGUAACCCCACAGUGGCAAGGUGGGCAUAGUGUGGGUGGCCUGGGGACUCCUGAGACUUGCUUGGCUGGGAUCUGAAGUGAGGGGAGUCUCAUGGAGGUCUCUGCCUUUAACCUGAGGAACUUGUGUCAGCUCUAGUGUCAGAAUUGAUGUGGAGUGAAAAAAAGACAACAUUAAGUAGCUGGUACUGGAAUCUAUAGAAGUAGAUCAAGUUACCAGAGCAUGACUGUAAUGGAAGGACUGAUUUACUGAAGGCCUUCCGAGGACCACAAAAUGAUAAUACUGCCUCCUGCAAUCUGAUUCAUAUAGAUCUGUUAGGAUGACUUCAUGGUAAGGAAUCAUGCCCAUGAGUCAUUUGAAAACAAGACAGGUCAAAAUAUUUUGAUAAGCCUAGGGCACAGCAUUUCAGAUGCAUUGUGACCUAUCUCUUUAUUUCCCUGGCGUCCUAUGAGGGCUUUCUUUUGGAAAAAGACAAUAGGGCUAUCCUUUGCCACUUAGUUUCUCUGACAAACUUUCUACCUAGGCAAGACAACUAAGACUGGAUUACCAGUAAGUCAGCCUGUUAUGUGUGCAGCUCUGGAUUCCUCUGCUCUGUCUGCCUCUCCUGGAUAGCAAUUCUGAGAAGAAUCACCUUGCUGGUACUCUAUGGAGGAUGGAGGGCACUAUUUCUUGCUCACUAAGCUGUUUACAGUUUGGCAAUAUAACAUAGCAACAGAGAGAACAAGAGAAGUCACAAGGCAUUGAACACCCACUACCUGACAGGUUUGGGAUGAGUGCUUCUACUUAUGUUCACUUAUUUAAUUCUCAUAACCUCCCUGUAGAGUAAUUCUUACUUUCUCAGUUUGUACACACUCAAAACUAUAACUGAGAGUUCCUGGAGGUCUCAGAACUAGACUUUAGAGAACAAGCAGGGGAACUGAUAUCAGGGCCUGCAGUGUAGUGCCAAGUCCCUAGUAGGGGAAGCCCAAAGGAGUAGGACAAGUUUGCUGACCUUUGCAGUCUCCCCUGCCCACCAGCAGGGCAGGUAGCCUGGAUAAUGUCUCACCUGAGCCAAAAUUGUGGACUGGGACCUGAACUGCAGACAGAGUGCAGCCAUUUGCCGGGGAACGUCUCCAGCCAAACACACUUUCCUACAUUUCCUAAGGGUUCAUGGCAGUUGUUUUCCCAUGGAAACAAGCACAAAUCUGUUUUAAUCAUCAGGCAUUUCUAGUUUCCUAAUUUGUAUGGGAACCUAGAGAUACGGACAUACGGUACAUUCAUUAUCCCGGAAAGCUAUGGCUGAAAAGAAAAUAGUUGAAGCCAAUCUUAAAACUGGUUUCAGCAGAUGCCUUCAAAUUACUUUUCGUAAUCUAAGGAGCUGUCAACAAUCCUGCCAGAAGUGUUGUUUCUGUUUCAGCUCAGUACUUCGAGCAGGAUUUACGUUUGAUCCUUGAUGGUUCCCCAUAGCAUAUCACACAACCUGCCAACUCUUUUGGAUGUAUCUCAGAUUUCUCCCUCUUUAUUUCUCUUUUUUCCCCCCUCUUUAUUUGUUGAAUCAGCCUGAGUGGAAAGAACAGGGACUCAGGAUAGUUAGCAGAUCUGCCUGCUGAUCCUGACUUGUGACCUUACCAGUCCUGGGAUGUUGGCUAAGACUUCCUUAUGGCUUAUUUUCUUCAUCUGAAAUUCCAUUUCUUCAUUGACCAUCUACUUUAUUUCAGGCUGCUUUAGGAACUGGAUGUAUUAGUUAGCUUUCAUAUUGUCAGGACCCAAUACCCAACAUCCACAAGUUAAAAGGAGAGGUUGAACUUAGGAGAGUUUUCAAGAGAUUCACUGCGUGGUUGGCUGGCUCAAAAGUAAGAACAUCAUGGCAGAAGGACAUGGUGGAGCAAAACUGCUUAGUUCAUGGAAGCUGGAAGCAGAGCAGGGGAACAGCACUCCAGAGGAAGGGGUGAAGGACCAUAUAUAGUACCCAAGGUCAUGCUUCCAUGACCCACCCAGACACACCCAAAAAUGUGCUUUACUAAUACCUUGGGCAUCUCUUAUGCCAAUCAAUAUGACAAUUAAGAUCAACUAUCACAAGAGAUAACAAAGAACAAAAUAAAAUCCUUGCCAUUGUGGAGUUUAUAUUCUGGGGAGAGAUAAUAAAUAAAUGAAUACAAGAGAUCAUAUGCCCAAUGGUGCUAAGGGUUAAGCAGAACAGUAAAGCACAAGGAGUAUUUGGGUAAGGCAAUGAUAUAUUUUUAAAAGGCUGCUCUCAUGGAGAAAAGGGAGUGGAGGACAGGCCUGAAGAAGGCACGAGAGUAAGCCGUAUGGCUCUGAGAGGAAGAAUAUUCUGGUAGACGCCCCAAGGGUGGAGACUAUGGAUGUUUUUGGAGAACAGCAAGAAAUCCAGUCCUGUUCUAAACGUGUCAUAUGUAUUAAUCUAUUUAAUCCUUUUAAUAGUCCUAUGCCUCUUAUAAUCUACAACAUAAUAAGCUUGAAUCUCAGCUCUGUCACUUGCUAUUUAGGAAAAUCUCUUAGACUUAAUUUUUAAAAUAAGGUAAUGAUAUAAUAUGAUUUGCCUCAUGAGACUGUAGUGAAAAUUAACUUGCUGUAACUGAGGAGCUACAUAGACCAGUGCUUGAUACAUAGUAAACUCUCAGUAUACAGUGCUAUUAUUAUUGGCAACAAAUACAUUUCUAAAGUAAAGAAGCUACAAGAUGAGAGCCUCGUUUGUACUGGCUUUCAGAUAGAAGAACCAUUUCCUUUUGUCCAUAUUUGUUAUGAUUUAGAUCUCAAAUGUCCCCCUAAAGUCUCACGUGUUCAGAGGUUGGGCUUCUGGAAGGUGGUUGGAUCAUGGGGCACCAUACUCAUCAGUGGAUUAGUCCUCUGAUAAGUGUAUCAGUCAGUGCUUACUAGAGAAACAGAUUUAAUGCAAGAUAUACAAAUAUAUAAGAACUUGCAAGACUGAUUUACAGUGGCUACCCGCAGAGUCAGAUGUGGAAGAGUGCAAAAGGCCUUAUGUGCUGGAGAUCUGAAGGAUCCAAUGGAAGGCCUGGAGCCCACUGUAGUGCCCCUUGCGAGUCCGUUUCAGGGGCAGAAGGGUCUGCAUUGGAAGGCUGAAGGGUCUGUGCUGGAAGCCAGGAGAUGAUGUCCCAGGUGAAGGUGAAGACUGGAGCUCCUCUGAAGAAACAGAAGUGAGCCUUCCUUCUUGGUUUCCCCUUUAUAACAUUCAGGUGUCCACCCUAGCUGCCCUAGGGUGGAUCUUCUGUCUUCAGUAAUUCCCCCAGCCAUACUCAGCACUGUGCUGAUCUAAUUUAGUUGGGCAUUUCUUAUUCAAGUAGACACAAUCAUUUACCUAUCACUGAGUUCACAGCUGAAGGUGCUGAUAGGAGGUGGGGUCUGAUCGGAAGAGGUGGGUAGUUGGGAGCAUGACUUGGAAUAGUGUGUUCUUGUCCCCAGCUCCUCCCUUCUCUCUCUGCUUUCUGGUUGCCAUGAGUUGAACAGCUUCCCUCUGCCAUGCCCUGCCACCAUGUCAUUUCUGCCUUGGAGUCUCCCACUCUAGCACCUGACCACGCAUGAACUGAGUCCUCUCAAACUGUGACCAAAAUAAACCUUCUUUUAUGUGCAUCAGGAAUUCGGUACCAGCAAUUACAAAAAAACUGACUAAUAUAAUGUAGUAGAAAGUUUUAGAGUCUGUAUUAAUUUUCAAGGCAUUAGAGAUACAGUGGUACCUCAGCUCACAAACUUAAUUCUUUCCAUGAUUCUGGUUGCAAACCAAAUUGAAUUCAAUGGUUAGGUUCAAUGUUGACCUUGGGGAAGUUUGAUUCGGUUUGUGACCAAUUUGGUUUGAGACCAGAAUCAUGGAAAGAAUUAAGUUCAUAAUGCCCAUAUCAAGAACUCACUCCAACAUCACUGACACUUUAAAAGUAAUCUAUUUUUGAAUAAGAAUUCAUGCACAUGAUACAGAACUUAAGAGAAGUAAGAAACAUGCAGAGAAAAUGUACAUGAUAUUACCAGGUUUUUGGUACAUCCAUUGGAGAUAGUGUGUGAAUAGCCCAUUUCUCUGGCCACCCCAUUCACCCACACAUCUUCAAAUACAGUCAUGAUUACUUAAAAUGGAAUAGAGGAUAUGCUCUGAGAAAUGCAUUGUUAGGUGAUGGCACUGUUUGGUGACCAUAGUUGAGUGUAUUUGUGCAAACUAAGAUGGCUACAACUACAUUUCUCAGAGCUGUAAUCUAUGUGAUUCAUCAUUGACUGAAACAUUGUUAUAUGGGCAUAUUAUUGUAUUCAUUUAGCAAAUAUAUUCAAUAGGAGUCUAUGUAUUUUUUGUUUGUUUUUGGACCGGAGAUUGAUCUUGGGACCUUGCGCUUUCAGGGCAGGUGGCAGAACCACUGAGCUAAAUCCCCAGCCCAGUGUAUUGUUUUUAUUGAGUUGUAUCCAAGCUCCAAGCUUUUGAAGACCUGGGGCAAGAGUUUUAGUUUAGGAAUAGAUUGUUUUCCUAGGGUCAUUUUCUUACCAUGUUAGGGUUAGGAACAUUGUUCUAUGAACUCUGUCAAUCAUCAUCUCACAUAACACCUCAGAGAGGGGCUCCUAAUCAGGCAUAGGGACUGAAAGUGAUUAAGGAGGAGGAUCAAGGGAAAGAAGGUGAAGCUGAUGAGUUCCUAUUUGAUGUCAGUUUGUGACUCUAGGAAUUUAAAAUGUGCUGUCCAGCUACUUUGGAAGAUGGCUAUCAAUUGUUCUCUCUAUUUUGCAGGUGAGGAAAGUCAAGUGUAGAAAGAUUCUGUGCCUUGCCCAAGGUAGCACAGCUGGAAAGUUGAGGAGGCAGGAUUCAAACUUACAUCAGGCUGAUAUUAAAAUCCCAAGCCCAGUGAUUUUAGAGCAUUGACAAAGGGAAUUGUGUCCUAGGUGGACAGAAAGUGGCUGAAUUCCAGUUGUUUUAAAUACUUUAAGAAGGGAAGAGAAAAAAAUCAGAAAACUAACCUUUCCAAUAUCAAAAUCAGUAUCCAACAGACAAGUUGGCAGCCCAUCAGCACCUCUUUUGGACAUGUGGGCUGUGGACCUGGAUCAGUGUUAAAUAGUCACAGGGGACAGGUGUGAGACAAGCACUCAGUGAUCAUAGGGUUUUGCUGGGAAGGCAGGAGUUCUAUACUCAAUGUUGCUGCUUUAGUGCAUUCAGAGAUUCCCCACAUCUUUGACAAAGUAGAAAUCAGCUAUCAUCACUUGAGCAUAUUACUAGGAAUUAUAUAAAUGAAAAUUCCUAAUUAAAAAAUUGUAUAUUUUGUAGUUUAAACAACAGACAUUUGGGGCCCGGGAUUUAGCUCAGUGGUUCUGCCAUCUGCCUGGAACGUGUAAGGUUCCGAGUUCGAUCCCCGGUACCAAAAACAAAAAAACCCAGACAUUUGUUUCUCACAGUUCCAGGGGAAGUGCACGAUGAAGGUGCCAGUGGGUUUUUUCCAGAGGGUGGGGGAGGGAGUAGAGAAGGGACAGGGGAGAGACAUGUUAGCCACUUAUUAUAAGAGCACUAAUUCCAAAUUCCAAAUUCAGAUGUCUCCCCCAUGAGUCAUCUAAGCCAAACACCCCCUAAGGCUUAGCCUCCUGAUAGCAUCUUGUUGGGGUUAGUAUUUCAAUGUAUGGCUUCCCGAGAGUCAUGACAACAGUAUUCAGUCCAUGACACUAACAAUAGGAAAAUAAUGCAUUCAUGUAGACUUAGCUUGUUUCACUUAGCAGUUGGCAAAGUAAACUCACAUAAAUCACCUCAUUUGAGCUGUGGGGUUGUUAUGUGUGAGUUAGCUAUUUUUCCCCUUAUUUUACAGAUGAAGUGGCUGAAUCGAGAAGCAUUUGGUUUCUCCUAUGGUCAAAUGGCUAAGUAACAGCAGUGGAGUGCAAAUUCAGGUCUUCUAAUUCUAAAUCCUGUGUGCUCACAGCUGCACCAGGAAUUGGGCCAUUCUUCCCUUUGUAGUAACAGUAGCAAUAACAAAAGAGGAGCAACAAUGAAUGUUUAUUCAGUGCUGUACUAUGCACCUAUCUCUUUGAAAAUAUGUCUUGGCAUAGAUACCAGUACUGUUUUGAUUUUCUAUGCCUGGGAAAGCCUUAAACCAGUGGUAGUGAACCUGUGGCAUGUGUGGUUUUUCUUUUAAGACACAAGAUGUUAAUGUAUGCAUUGUUUUCUUCUAAACUAAAACCUCAGUAUUCAGGUUUAAUGGCAGUGUUAGCACCUUGUGAUAAAGAAGUAGGUUUUGGAUUGCAGUACGGGCACUCCUCUCUAAAAGAUUUGCCAUCCCUGCUAGACUAAGUCUGACCCAGGUCUGGCUGAAUGUAGAGAUUACAUUCACAUUAAGCCACUCUGCUACUGUGGCCUUUGAAAUACUCUUCUGAAAAAUAAUAUGUAAGAUGAAAAUAUUCUGUUAGACAUAUUUUUUCAGGAUUUUGGUCAGAAAUGGAUUUCUUGCCCUUUAAAAGCAUUAGUGUCCUAUAAAGUACUCUAUUGAAAGUCCUCUUUCUCAGGCACACAGAUGGAGGACAGAAGUUUCUUUAUGCUCUAAAAGGUCCAUUCUAUGUAGUUGACUAUAAUGAGAUCAUAUCUUGUUCUGAAUGUUUCACAAAAGAGGCACUGGGCUCAUUCCAAAUGAAAGCCAAAUCAAAGGAAAAAAAUGCCCAAAACAACAGGAUGUUACUCAGUGGUAUGGAUGGGAACUUUUCAUUUCUGAGUUCAUUCUGAACCUAGACAUCUGCAGAUGUGUUCCACCCUAGCAUUCAGCCUGGAGUCAGAGAACUGCAUGUGUCUCUCCCUGAGAUGUGAGGAGGAGACAAGGAUGGCACAGAGGGCUGCUACAGGUCGCAUAAUGCAACAUUGAACUUUACACUGGUGAGGUUCAGAAUUACGUGGAGCAUAGAGAGUGAGUGGAAACUUCGCUGUGACUGAAGUAGCCUAUUCAGGUGAACAGAACCUUUGAAUGUGUCCAGAAAAGUUAUACUUUAAUGCCUGGGCCUAUUUGAAAUACUCAUUUGGGAAGAAUGAUCAGACCUCUGAAGAUAAGUGUUUCACAGCUUUUGUUGUGUUAGAAUCUGCAACCCCGAGAACAGUUUUUCUAGGCAAACACACUGGUGCACUUAGGUUCUCAUUUCCAGGAAUGGAGCCUAUGUUAUUCUGCAGAGAAUCAGCUUCUCUGAGCACACAGGUGGCCUUACCGUCAUCCACCUCAGGCCUCAUUUCAUAAAAGAGAAAAGUGAGGCCCAGUGAGGGUCAGUGACAUUCCGGAGUCAAAGUGUCCUAGGAGAGAAUUUCCUGCAGGAGGACCAUUGUUCAAACUGCUGUUUCCAGCUUUGGUUGAGUUUUUGCAGUCUUUUUGUUUUGUUUUUGGUACUGGGGAUCGAACUCAGGACCUUGUGCUUGCGAGGCAGGCACCGGAACCACUGAGCUAAAUCUCUGGCCCAAGUUUUUGCAGUCUUUAAGGACAAAAAUUUUGAAAUCUGUUCUGGAUUUUGAAUCAGAUUCCUUUCUCACUAGCUGUGUGCCUUUUGGAAAGUCAUUUAACUUUCUCAAGUCUCUGUUUCCUCAUCUGCAGGAUGGGUAUAAGAUUUCCUUCCUUUAGCUAUGUAUGGUGAUGCACGCCUAUAAUGCUAGCACUCUGGGAAGCUGAGGAAAGAAGAUCAAAAGUUCAUGCCAGGGAUUUAGUUCAGUUGCACUGUGCCUGCCUGGCAAGUGCAAGGUCCUGAGUUCAACCCCCGGUAUCAGAAAAAAAAAAAGAAAGAAAGUUCAAGCCCAGCCUGGGCUACACAGUGCCUUAGUGAGAUCUUGUCUCAAAAACAAUUUUUUUAAAGGCGUAGGAGGCUAGGGAUAUUGCUUAUUGCAGCUCCCUGGUGGCUCUUUGGGAAUGCACAUGGGAAGCCUAGCAAUGCCUGGAGGAUUUGGGUUCUGACCAAAG
rnacentral:lncRNA from 1 species